GGGAUCUCAUAAUUCGAUUUUUUUAUUUAAAUACUUAACAUUUUCUAAGGUAGGAUGUGGAGAUAUUGUGUGGCAGAAAAGUUCGUAUUCAAACGCACAGCCUCAGUGUGCCCUCAGACUAAACAGUGAGCUCGAGCAAGACGUGUCAUCCUCUUUCAGGACGUUAAUCAAAUAGUAGAAUGCAGAUGAUUACGUUUUGAGGAGAAAUUCAUACAAUUUGACAAAGAGCCAUUUACAGACCAGGCAGCCAAGGGACCAUGGAAGAUCCGGACACCCAGGAGGGCCUGCAGGUGACCCAGUCCACUAUCCUCUACCUCAUCCAAGAAGCUUCCAAGCUAGCAACUCCCACCCCUGUCCACAACCGCUCUGUAGACUCAAAGCCUAAGACUUUACCUGUAUCAAAUGAAAGGUCUAAAAAGAAUCAAGUGUCUGAUCAUAGACCUUCUCCUCCUCAGCACAGUUCCUCUCUCAUGAGACUUCAUAACCAGCCAAAAGAUGACUUAGAACAAUGUAGGAGACAUACGAACUCAGUCCUGCCCAGCCGUCAUAGUAGCAGCAGUCCGUGGGAGUUGAUGAGCCUGAUCAACAUGCAGUGUGAGAGACUCCUCCAGUCAGAUGACCAAGAGGGAACCUCAUCUAGGGCUCAGUUGGUUCCUAUAGACUCUGACGAUCAUCCUCCUGAAGGUGUGGGGUACAGUAAGAACACUGUCGCUGUCUGCCCCACUCUAGUCAGUACCAGAGGGGAUUCUCCCCAUCCGCAUGUCGGGUCCAGGGGAGAGAUGGGGGAGUUGGGUGGAGGUGGUUAUUGCUCACCCAUAUGUCCAGGUACCAGUUCUCAGACAUCACCGGAUGUCAAUGGCAGCGACAAAACUAAACCUGGUGUGGGAGCUUCAGACUCUGAGGUUGUAACGAACAAAGAAACAGGAGCCACAUUUUGUCUUAACGGUGAUGGAUUGUCUGUGAGUGAAGAAAGCAGAAGGGUCCCCUGUGCCUUAGUCCAAGAUGACAACACAGUGAAGGAGGUCCGUCCUGAGGCAAAAGACGGGCUGUCAGUUAAACAUCCGUCUGUGUCAUAUAUAAACCUGUUUGGGCAAACGCUUGUCCACAAAGUAGCUACAAUUAUGGAUGCAGCAAGUCUGUCGUCUCCCUCCGUAGACACCAUGACAUGCUUACAUCCAGGCCCAGAAGAGCUGAACCUUAACAUGACCCUGGACUUCAACUCAAACAUAUGUUUUACCUUUGACCCCAAGGAAGACAUGCCACCAGCCCCAAACUCCUCUUAUAAUACUAUGUUGCUCAUAUUGAACAGUGAAGCAGGGUCUGUGAAUGUGAACGAAAAGUCAGUACAAGAUGGCAGUUUUGCAGGCGUCAAAGCAGAGCUCAACGAAAGCUCCAUGGAAGAGAACACAGACACAGUACAAGAUGCCAGUAUUAUUGCAGACUCUCCGUUGGACCUCACCCAAAGGUGCAGGGACUUGGAGGAUGACAUGGGCACUAUCCCCGCAGCCCC
ensembl:lncRNA